AUACGUAGGGGGCGAGCGUUGUCCGGAAUGAUUGGGCGUAAAGGGCGCGUAGGCGGCGCGGUAAGUCUGGAGUGAAAGUCCUGCUUUCAAGGUGGGAAUUGCUUUGGAUACUGCCGCGCUUGAGUGCAGGAGAGGUUAUCGGAAUUCCCGGUGUAGCGGUGAAAUGCGUAGAGAUCGGGAGGAACACCAGUGGCGAAGGCGGGUAACUGGACUGCAACUGACGCUGAGGCGCGAAAGUGUGGGGAGCAAACAGGAUUAGAUACCCUGGUAGUCCACACUGUAAACGAUGAAUGCUAGGUGUAAGGGGUAUCGACCCCUUUUGUGCCGGAGUCAACACAAUAAGCAUUCCGCCUGGGGAGUACGGCCGCAAGGUUGAAACUCAAAUGAAUUGGCGGG
rnacentral:rRNA from 1 species